UCAAGCUACAAAGAGCACAAGGGGAAUGCCUUGGCACCGAGAGCCGAAGAAGGACGUGACUAACUGCGAUAAGCUACGGGGAGCUGUAAGUGAGCGUUAUAUCCGUAGAUUUCCGAAUGGAGCAAUCCGAUUAGAGGAAAGUCUAAUCAUCAUAUACUGAAUACAUAGGUAUAUGAGGGGAACCGCCUGAACUGAAACAUCUAAGUAGGGCGAGGAAGAGAAAUCAACUGAGAUUCCGUAAGUAGUGGCGAGCGAACGCGGAAGAGGCCAAACCUAAUGUAGUAAUAUGUUAGGGGUUCGGACAGUAUAAUGAAUUGUCGAGAUUUAGCCGAAUGUCAUGGGAAGGGCAAUCAAAGAAGGUGAAAAUCCUGUAGGCGAAAAGUUAAGACAUCAGACUGUAUCCAGAGUACCGCCGGACACGUGAAACCCGGUGGGAAUACGGGGGGACCAUCCUCCAAGCCUAAAUACUACUCGAUGACCGAUAGAGAAGAAGUACUGUGAAGGAAAGGUGAAAAGCACCCCGGAAGGGGAGUGAAAGAGAACCUGAAACCUUGUGUUUACAAGCACCGAAAGUUCAUCAACGAACGAUCGGGUACCUUUUGUAGAAUGGUCCGGCGAGUGAAUGUAACUGGCAAGGUUAAGCACUUAAGGUGUGAAGCCGUAGCGAGAGCGAGUCUGAAAAGGGCGCAUGAAGUCAGUUGUAUUCGACCCGAAACCGGGUGACCUACCCAUGUCCAGGCUGAAGUGCAGGUAAAACUUCAUGGAGGGCCGAACCGACUCCCGUUGAAAUGGUAGCGGAUGAGGUGUGGGUAGCGGAGAAAUUCCAAUCGAACCCGGAGAUAGCUGGUUCUCUCCGAAAUAGCUUUAGGGCUAGCCUUGGAAUAGAUUACUGGAGGUAAAGCACUGAAUUGGCUAGGGGCCGAGAGGUUACUGAACCUUAUCAAACUAAGAAUGCCAGAUAAUCGUUUUCCAGGAGUCAGACAGUGGGAGAUAAGUUUCAUUGUCAAAAGGGAAACAGCCCAGACCUACAGCUAAGGUCCCAAAGUAUAGUUAAGUGGAAAAGGAUGUGGAAUUGCAUAGACAACCAGGAUGUUGGCUUAGAAGCAGCCACUCAUUAAAAGAGUGCGUAAUAGCUCACUGGUCGAGUGAUUCUGCGCCGAAAAUUUAACGGGGCUAAACUAUACACCGAAGCUUAGGAUACCGCAAGGUAUGGUAGGAGAGCGUUCUGUACGGAGUGAAGUCGUAGCGAAAGCGGCGGUGGACUGUACAGAAGUGAGAAUGCCGGAAUAAGUAGCGAGAAUUAAGUGAGAAUCUUAAUGGCCGAAAGUCUAAGGUUUUUGGAGGAAGGUUCGUCCGCUCCAAGUAAGUCGGGAGCUAAGGUCAGGCCGAAAGGCGUAGCCGAUGCACAAACGGUUGAUAUUCCGUUACCGUCUACAAUUUAAACAAGGGGACACAUACAAAGCGUUUAACCCGGGCGAUGGUUGACCCGGGCGCAAGGGACUGAAAUAAGAGUAGGGAAGUAAAUGUGGCGUAUGGCGAGAAAAGCUUUGUGUAUAGAAGUAGACGCCCGUACCGCAAACCGACACAGGUGGACAGGAAGAGAAUUCUAAGGCCAGCGGGAGAAGGGUAGUUAAGGAACUCGGCAAAUUGACUCCGUAACUUCGGAAUAAGGAGUGCUCGAAAGAGCCGCAGAGAAUAGGCCCAGGCGACUGUUUAGCAAAAACACAGGUCUCUGCCAAAUCGAAAGAUGAAGUAUAGGGGCUGACACCUGCCCGGUGCCGGAAGGUUAAGAGGAGGAGUGCAAGCUCCGAAUUGAAGCCCCGGUAAACGGCGGCCGUAACUAUAACGGUCCUAAGGUAGCGAAAUUCCUUGUCGGGUAAGUUCCGACCCGCACGAAUGGUGUAACGAUCUGGGCACUGUCUCAACUACCCACCCGGCGAAAUUGUAGUACCGGUGAAGAUGCCGGUU
rnacentral:rRNA from 1 species